CCUCGCCUGCUGGCUUUCCGGAGCGUCCGGAAGGGAAGGGUUGUUUGGGGGGGUUUUAUUGUAGGUGCAAGCCGAAAGGGGAAAGCUGCGCAGCCUAAAAAAAGCAUCACCGCUUCCUCAGUUCCCAGUGGGACCGGUAACGGCAGCGCCAGUCAGUGCGGGCGGCGGGGAGGGGUCCAGCCCGUUCCCAGGCAUCCUGCGGACUAACAGCUGUUGGGGGAUCGCGGUGGCUCCGGGCUGGGACUGUUUGUGGGUGUUCGUUCCAAAUGCAAAGUCAGGCCCGGAGAGGCUGUGGCUGUACACCACUGUACACCUUGCUGGGAAAGACCAGGAAUUUUUCAGAUGUCUAGAAAUUUUCCAAUGGAGCUACAUGUCCCCAUAUGGCAAAUUAAAGCCCAGUGGAAAAAAGUCUAUUUUUUUAGUUACUGUUGUCAUAUGUUGGGCAUGAUCCACAGACAAAACAAUCCAUGGAUCACAACUUAAAAUGCAACAGUUUGGCUGAGAGUAAAGAUCUCCUGGACAGGUUUCCUUUCUUCACAAACUUCCUUGAGACUUUUUCAUCAUACCACUUUGUGCUGCAGUGGCAUCACAUGUAUUGGCCUUUUGCCACCAACCAGCAUGAUGCUCAGUUUAAUCCAUCAAUAGCCAGCUACUACAGGCAUUACAGUCAGAGCUGAAAUGGGACAACAGUGAAUUUUAAAAUAAGAAUCUUAUAUAAUACUCAAAGAUGCAACAUUUAUUAUUAUAAAUGUAUAGACAAACGCACUGGAUACAUUUCAAACAAGUGUAGGCAAAUGGAUGUAACAAAAUCCUCAAAGUGUAAAUAUAGUAAUAAAAUACAACAAAAUGUAGUAGAACUUAAAAAAGGGUUGCAAAGUGUGACUAAAAGAGCUGGACAGGAUUUUUCCAUCCGCUUUAGGAUUUCAGAUAUCUUUUUCCUUAUACUCUCUAACUUUCUAACCUACAGAGUACUGAAUAGGUCAAUAGACUCAUUAGUACUCAAGACCUCAAAGUACUGAUUACAAAUCAUGCCCCUAGUUUAGAUCAGAAUUUUACAUGAUGAAAACAGCAGUUUGCCCUGGAUGUUGUACCAUGUGUACCAUGCAGCACAAGCGUGUAGCACUGAGGCACAUCUCGAACCACCAUAUGGAAAUCGGGCCUGCACACUCUUAGCUUCUUUUGGGAAGUUGUUCAACUUAAAUAUUAAGUGGACUAUUAAGUGGAUUAUAGAAACCCAGAUUUGCAGAUGAAAGAAAGUGACAUUUAAGUUUGAAUCAAACUGCCAGCAAAGCAGAGGUGAUUUAAUCUUUGGUCCCUCAGAAAUCAGCUGGAUCACUCCAAAGGUAGGAGGUUUGAAGUAACUCUUUUGAAGUAACCAGGGGAACACAGCGAAACAUAGUCCAAGCCAGUACACUCCUGUAAAUGGAAAUACUUCAUGCUCAAUGCUCAUGAAUUUGUGUGUUCUCUGAGAAAAUAAUUUCACCAACAUGUUUAUGUGCAGAUUUCCUUUGUAGCUGAAGACCCUAAUAACUUAGAAAUUGCAGAGAAAAGGACAAGUUAAAAUCCAAAAGCAAAAUGUUUCUGUGAUUUUGCAUAUAGCAGAGACACGAGGGUUAAUGUCAUUGCAGCUAGCAGCUAAGUAUGAUAUCAUGGACAUAAAAGUUAGCAUAAAAAUGUAAUCAAUUUUUCCUUUCAUAGCAUUUUUUUUUUCCAAUUUACAGGCCAACAAUGCAGAGGAAUGUAUCACCCUUUAUUUUCUUCACAGACAUUAGCAGCAUUAUCUCAGCUUUUGAGAAAUACACUGCAAGCCAAAAUCAACCAUCACAAGACACAGCAAGUAUAUUCUGGCACUCAAAGUUUUUCUGAGGGACAGAGGGUACUUUCUGUCUUAUUGAGAGGCACUUACAUGAGAAUAGGCAAAAAUCCUGAUACUUAAUAAUCACAUCAGCUGAUGCCCUAGGAAGUGCAGAGCUGGAAACCCUGGUGUUAUUUAGGCCUACAAAAAACAGAGUAACAUAGGAGCAAAGGAGCAAUUUUUUUUCAUGGUAGCUUAGAGUGAUACAGGUAUGGAAUGAAGCUGAACACUCAGAAUUACUGGCCACAUGUUACAGAGUGCAUUAGAAUACACUAGAAACUCUGCACCUUACUCUCCCCAGGCUGUUUAACAUCAAAAGCAAGACAAAAAGCAACAGAAUUUGAAAAGAAGGAAAAGCAGAGAAAUGAAGAUAGAGGAAUGAAGAUUAGGUCUGGCACAGAACCAUUAUUCAUUUCCUUCUCCCCCUAUCAGUUAUCUUCACUUCUAGCCCCUACCUGCAUGUUAGGCUGCCCUGGCUUUCCAUCAGGGCACAGAUCUGCAAGCCCACAUGAGAUAUUCAUGACUGCCACACUUGGAGUCCUCCCUCCAGCACAUGGAGGUUUAAAUUAGUUCUUUGGUUAUACCUUGCUGUUUCCAUUCUAUGUUCUCCUCCAAUUCCUACUUAUCCCUGUACUAGAACACACCCUCCAACCCACUGCUUUCCUAUAUAUUCAAUUAAUAAAUUAAAACUUUGGUAAUUUUUCCUCUUGUUAAGUGGAUAUCAGCCUUGCUGCUUCAUUUCCCAGACAUAAAACCUUUUUUGGUUGUUUUGCUUCCCUGCUGUGUUUCUAAUUUUUCCACAUCAGAAACCUUGCAUUACUCUUUAUUAAGAAGCAUUUGGGACUUUUUUCUA